ACGGAAGGCAGCAGUGGGGAAUAUUGGGCAAUGGGCGAAAGCCUGACCCAGCGACGCCGCGUGAGGGAAGAAGGUCUUCGGAUUGUAAACCUCUGUCGACAGGGACGAAGCAAGUGACGGUACCUGUAGAGGAAGCCACGGCUAACUACGUGCCAGCAGCCGCGGUAAUACGGAGGAUGCGAGCGUUAUCCGGAUUUAUUGGGUUUAAAGGGUGCGCAGGCGGCACGUUAAGUCAGCGGUGAAAUGUCGGGGCUCAACCCGGGCACUGCCGUUGAAACUGGCGAGCUUGAGUACGGAUGAAGUCGGCGGAACGUGAUGUGUAGCGGUGAAAUGCUUAGAUAUGUCACAGAACACCGAUUGCGAAGGCAGCUGACUAAUCCGCAACUGACGCUCAGGCACGAAAGCGUGGGGAUCGAACAGGAUUAGAUACCCUGGUA
rnacentral:rRNA from 1 species